rnacentral:lncRNA from 1 species
CGUAGUGUAGUGGUUAUCACGUUCGCCUCACACGCGAAAGGUCCCCGGUUCGAAACCGGGCGGGAACAACCCCUUUUUCCUCAAACUUACCUUCAUGCAGCCAAAUCAAACAGAGGAGGGGACGGGGCGUGGAGGUGCGGUCGCAGCUGCAUUUUCCAUUCACGAGAAACGUGGCACAACUUCAGUUACUCAGCCCUAGGAAACAAGCCUCGGUUGUCUGCUCUCAGUCACAAUGGAGACCGCGACACAGUAAGUCCAAGGCGGGCGCAGGACUAGGCUGACUUCAGCCUACCUUGGGAUCCAGAGAGCCCCGAACCUUCUCCUCUGUCGCCGAAAUCUUCUCGACAGGCUGACAGAAUUGUCACCUGGAGAGGCCAAGUUAGAGCCCUUGUGUGACUCCCUGGUGGCCUGGGGCUAGGAGUUGGCGCUUUCACUGGGCUCCGGGAUUGGUUCCCCAUCAGCGACGUCUCUGGGCACGGCCUCCGCAUGCAGGAGUCUUCUCUUCACCCCCAGAGUGCAGGCCAGGCCCGCCCUCUGCUUGUAGGAACAGAUAGGUUGUCAGUCUCCCCAGCACCACCUGCCCUCCGGACUCCUCCUCGUUGCUUUGGCGGGCAGUGGGGUCUUGGGUCCGCCUGAGCUCUAGCGCUG